rnacentral:rRNA from 1 species
GACAGAGGGUGCAAACGUUGCUCGGAAUCACUGGGCGUAAAGGGCGUGUAGGCGGGAAGGAAAGUCAGAUGUGAAAUCCCUGGGCUCAACCCAGGAACUGCAUUUGAAACUCCCUUUCUUGAGUGUCGGAGAGGAAAGCGGAAUUCCUGGUGUAGAGGUGAAAUUCGUAGAUAUCAGGAGGAACACCGGUGGCGAAGGCGGCUUUCUGGACGAUCACUGACGCUGAGACGCGAAAGCGUGGGGAGCAAACAGG